rnacentral:rRNA from 1 species
UUCGCCCUACGGGACGCAGCAGUAGGGAAUAUUGCUCAAUGGGGGAAACCCUGAAGCAGCAACGCCGCGUGGAGGAUGAAGGUGUUAGGAUUGUAAACUCCUUUUGUUAGAGAAGAUUAUGACGGUAUCUAACGAAUAAGCACCGGCUAACUCCGUGCCAGCAGCCGCGGUAAUACGGAGGGUGCAAGCGUUACUCGGAAUCACUGGGCGUAAAGAGUGCGUAGGCGGGGUAAUAAGUCAGAUGUGAAAUUCUGUAGCUUAACUACAGAACUGCAUUUGAAACUGUUACUCUGGAGUGUGGGAGG